GAUGAAGAACGAAGCGAAAUGCGAUAAGUAAUGUGAAUUGCAGAAUUCAGUGAAUCAUCGAAUCUUUGAACGCACAUUGCGCCCGCCAGUAUUCUGGCGGGCAUGCCUGUUCGAGCGUCAUUUCAACCAUCAAGCCCCCGGGCUUGUGUUGGGGACCUGCGGCUGCCGCAGGCCCUGAAAACCAGUGGCGGGCUCGCUAGUCACUCCGAGCGUAGUAGUUACAUCUCGCUCAGGGCGUGCUGCGGGUUCCGGCCGUUAAAAGCCUUUUACCCCAAGGUUGACCUCGGAUCAGGUAGGAAGACCCGCUGAACUUAAGCAUAUCAAUAAGCGGAGGA
rnacentral:misc_RNA from 1 species